rnacentral:rRNA from 1 species
GACGAACGCUGGCGGCGUGCUUAACACAUGCAAGUCGAGCGGAGCGGCGGACGGGUGAGUAAUGCCUAGGAAUCUGCCUGGUAGUGGGGGAUAACGUCCGGAAACGGGCGCUAAUACCGCAUACUAUCAGAUGAGCCUAGGUCGGAUUAGCUAGUUGGUGGGGUAAAGGCCUACCAAGGCGACGAUCCGUAACGGGUCUGAGAGGAUGAUCAGUCACCAGGGAACGGAGACACGGUCCAGAAUCCUCCGGGAGGAAGCAGUGGGGAAUAUUGGAAAAUGGGCGAAAGCCUGAGGCAGCCAUGCCGCGUGGGUGAAGAAGGUCUUCGGAUUGUAAAGCACUUUAAGUUGGGAGGCGUUACCAACAGAAUAAGCACCGGCUAACUUCGUGCCAGCCGCCGCGGUAAUAC